rnacentral:rRNA from 1 species
GAUGAACGCUGGCGGCGUGCCUAAUACAUGCAAGUCGAGCGUAUGGAUUAAGAGCUUGCUCUUAUGAAGUUAGCGGCGGACGGGUGAGUAACACGUGGGUAACCUGCCCAUAAGACUGGGAUAACUCCGGGAAACCGGGGCUAAUACCGGAUAACAUUUUGAACCGCAUGGUUCGAAAUUGAAAGGCGGCUUCGGCUGUCACUUAUGGAUGGACCCGGGUCGCAUUAGCUAGUUGGUGAGGUAACGGCUCACCAAGGCAACGAUGCGUAGCCGACCUGAGAGGGUGAUCGGCCACACUGGGACCGAGACACGGCCCGGACUCCUACGGGAGGCAGCAGUAGGGAAUCUUCCGCAAUGGACGAAAGUCUGACGGAGCAACGCCGCGUGAGUGAUGAAGGCUUUCGGGUCGUAAAACUCUGUUGUUAGGGAAGAACAAGUGCUAGUUGAAUAAGCUGACACCUUGACGGUACCUAACCAGAAAGCCACGGCUAACUACGUGCCAGCCGCCGCAGUAA